UUUCCACCCAUCGCAUUUUGAAUUCUACCAGUAGGUCUCCAUUGUGAAUGUCCCCUUUUUUACGCUACCCAAACAAAUGCACAAAACAAUCAAAUUUUACCCUUCAAAUUUUUUUAAAAUUUGACUAUCGCCAAAGAAAUAAUGUAAACUUCAAAAACACACAUUUUGUUGUUUUCUACUGCGAAUACACAGGCGAUGGAACCGAGUCGCACACGAGUUUGCAUUUGCUAUUUGAUAUCGACACUCCUAAUUACCUUCUUCAUCUACAUACUAGUUUCGAGCAAUUUGGAAAACAAUCGGAAACUCAGCAGACUGCGCGAGGAUGUGGAUGAGAUUGCGCAUGUUGUGCUGCAUACCGUGCCAGGACAGGGUGACACAAAGCAUUUAAAUGAAAUCGUUGAUGGCAUUUUGAAGAAACGGCUUGCCGGUAUCUGGGAUGAUUUGUAUGCGAUGAAAAAACAGUUACGACUCAGCGAGUGUAUGGGGCGUUCAACGGGGUCUGCACAGAGCACGGCCGAGGGUGGUGAGGGUGCGCUAAUGGAACGUUCAAUGCCAGCACGUGUCAACUAUGCGGCGGAGGAGUUGGGCGCAAAGGUGCUAGAUGUGAAAGCGGAGCCGAUUGAUGGUGGAAAUGUGGUGAGAACGGCGCUGGGGUUAAAAUACAGCGCGAACCCGCCCAUAAAUAUGUUAAAGCCAGGCAUGGAGCCGGGUAAUUGCUUCGCUUUCAAGCGCGUCAAUGCGGUAGUCACCAUUAAAUUGGCGCAGGCGAUAUAUGUGGAGAGUUUUGAGUUGGAGCACCUUUGCAAAGGAAAUGCGCCCAACAAUGACACAACGAGUGCGCCAAAGGACUUUGAAGUUUAUGGCAUCAUGGCCACUUCCUGGAAGGAAUUCAAAAUGGGAGAAUAUACUUAUACAAAUCAACAACCACUUACGCAAAAUUUCGCAGUGAAGUGUGAGAAUAAAUAUCUUUACAUGCGUUUCAAGUUCAAGUCGAAUCAUGGACAUCUGGAAUACACCUGCGUUUAUCGCGUGGCAGUCUAUGGUCGUAGUCAGAAGUAAAGAGGGCGCUUUGGGUCUCCUAUUUCGUGCGUAUUUUUUCGAGAACGCUGCUGGGUAGGCAUUUUAUUGUGUAUAUCGUGCAUUUUGUACAUAACGGUGUAUUUAUUAAAUGGAUUUUUUUUAUAACUGAGAAAAAACUUUACUCAAAAAUUGUUUACAUAAGUGCCAUGUGAAUUGUAUUUGUAAUAGUUUUUUUUUAAUUUAUUCUGUUAAAAUAUAUUAAAUGAUGAUUUUAAUUUAAUAAUGAUUUAUCGAGGCAUGGCAUGAAAUAAAAGUGCUUUAUGUUUACCCAAGAUAACUUGCCAGAAAUUUCGAGAGGGCCUCUUUCCAAAAUUAUCGAUCUAAGACAAAGCCACACUAACCUAACUUUGGGUUUUUAGAAAGCUUCGGUGUAUUGUCGCUUAU